AUUGAACGCUGGCGGCACGCCUUACACAUGCAAGUCGAACGGCAGCAUGAUCUAGCUUGCUAGAUUGAUGGCGAGUGGCGAACGGGUGAGUAAUACAUCGGAACGUGCCCUGUAGUGGGGGAUAACUAGUCGAAAGAUUAGCUAAUACCGCAUACGACCUGAGGGUGAAAGUGGGGGACCGCAAGGCCUCAUGCUAUAGGAGCGGCCGAUGUCUGAUUAGCUAGUUGGUGAGGUAAAGGCUCACCAAGGCGACGACCAGUAGCUGGUCUGAGAGGACGAUCAGCCACACUGGGACUGAGACACGGCCCAGACUCCUACGGGAGGCAGCAGUGGGGAAUUUUGGACAAUGGGCGAAAGCCUGAUCCAGCAAUGCCGCGUGUGUGAAGAAGGCCUUCGGGUUGUAAAGCACUUUUGUCCGGAAAGAAAUGGCUCUGGUUAAUACCUGGGGUCGAUGACGGUACCGGAAGAAUAAGGACCGGCUAACUACGUG
rnacentral:rRNA from 1 species